UCACAGAGCCUUGCCCCCCCUGCUGGACUCGGAUGAGGAAACCAUGACGACCAAGUUUGAGAUGUCCAAGAUGGAGUGAAGGAGAGUGGAGGAAACAGGAAGCAGGAGAUGAGGAGUGAACGAGUGGAGGAAACAGGAGAGAUUGAAGAACAGAGAUAUUUUAACAGAUUAAAGUGAAGAGUUGGAGAGGAGAGGAGAGGAGAGGAGAGGAGCGAUGGAGGAGAGAGGGAGUCCAGGUGGAGGUGUGUGAUGACAUCACUGACUUUAUGAGCUUUAUGACUGUUCACACACUGGGAGUGAAAUCGAUCGCCUGUCUGUAUUUAUAUUUCUAUGCACACAGAAUAUUUUGACAGACUCGAUGUUCUCGGCCUCGGAGUGGCUCCUUUUUGCCUUUUCUUUGUUUACAUGUUGACGUGUGAUGUUUUCAGGUUUUUUCUCAUCAUCUGACUCGUUUGUGUUUUCACUGUCGCCACGGCAACAGCAGCAGCAGCAGCAGCACUCGCUGUCCCGGCUGCUCGUGGUUCUUUACUUCCUGCUGUCGACCUUUGAAACUUUAACAUCCAAAGUUUGAGACGAUCGGUGAGGAGGAAGAUUUAUUUUGUGAGCACGUCUUUUUCUUAAAUUGUUUUGUUUCCGUCUUAAAGGUGUUUCAGAAAGUUUCCGCAUCAUGUGGACGGACUGGAUGAAUCUGCCGAGUUAGCACUUAAAACAUGUUGAUGCACUUUGAUGAAAAACUCCAUUUAAAUGUCCCUGUGGAUGUUGAUGUGCUGUCACACAAAGCUGAGGGGGCGGGGCAUCAUUUACUCCAGUGGUGCUCAGCUGGUCUAGCCUCAGGACCCAGAGACCCAAAUUUCUGAUAUUUUUCCACCAGUUAGAUUUAUUUAAUUUCUUUUUUUAAAGUGGAGAUUUGGAUAAACGACAAGACAAAAAUAAAGAAUAAAACGAACAAGUUUUAAAAAGCUCUCUGUACACUUUUUGAAAAACGGCUCAGCGACCCACUUUGGGGUCCCGACCCACCAGUUGAGCAUCACUGAUGUAGUCCAUCUCGAUGUGAGCGAAUCUGUUCAGAUUGAGUUUGACAGAAUUCAUCAACAGUCGGUUCAAAGCUGUUUUUUUUGGAUUCCUGCAGAAGUCUUCAGUAAGAAUCUAUGUUUGAAUAAAUGAUCCAACAUCUACUGUGUGUGCAGAAACAAAACGUCUGACGUGUCCUGAAGGUCGAGAUCUGCAGGUGAAGGUCAAUAAACACAUUUUUACAA